CAACAACAGGAAAGGAAUACAGGCCUUGAAAGAAGGGUUUGGAUAGACCAUAAAGAGGGACCGUUGGCUUGGUGCUAUGGAUCAGUAAGAGGGGGCAGAAAGCCCAGUGGUUUGCAGGCUCCCUGCCAUAUGAAGGAGCCACCUGGAGGGGAGUGACGAGGAAACUGAACGUCCUCAGGACAAUGAGAAGACUGCCAUACAAUGAAGGGAAAUCAACACUAUUACCUCAGAGCCGGUGUCAAAGGGUUAGCUGCUGUAACUUACAGUGGUCAGAGGGAACUUUGGAAGGGUGCAAUCAUAAUGCAAAUACCCUGAGAGAAGUGAAAUGUUACCAAGAGGCAGAAGCUAAAGGUGCAGAGAUAAAGGCACACUGGGUUCUCUACUCCAGCCAGAACCUGGUGCCACUGACCUUCUUAGGAAGCCCUCAGCAGACUUAGUCCGAUCAGCUACCAUCUUAAAAAACAGGAUCAAGUCUCUGGGAAUGUGAUUCAAGACAGGUGAGUUCUUCUAGCAGAAAUGAAGAGAAUGGCAGAUAAAAGGAGAAGGUUUGACUGUUAUUAGCCUGUGUUUAAAAUAUAGCUAUUUAGUUUCUGACUUUUGAUGGCCCAGAAAUUUUGUCUGGUUCCUUAUCUGUUCCUCAUUUUAAUAGCCUUGGUUCUUUCCUUUUCCUUUUUUGAGGACCUCUUUUUGGAUUUAUCGCCUUGCUUUCCUGGACCUACGGUAUCUGCAUGUGUUCUUUGCAUUGUCUGGACACGCUGAAAUUAACUUCUGGUUCACCUGAACUGAAUAACUAUCAGCCGCUUCUGCUAAACUUAACUCAUGACCUGACCUCAGAUGAAAAUAUGGAGUGAUGGAAUCUUAAAUGUAAGAGCUGGAAAAGAAUCCAAAAUAUUACAUCAUGGUAGUAAGAUGCAGGACAAUCUCUAGUUCCAUUUCUGCCUUGCCCUCCC
rnacentral:lncRNA from 1 species